rnacentral:lncRNA from 1 species
UUCAAAACACUUUCAGAUUUUUUUUUUUUUCCCCUUUAAGCCUUUUAAAACACAACAAUGAAUACGUGCUUAGCAAUAUAGCUCAAAACCAUCGACCGUUCCUAGCGCAAAUGGCAAAAGAGCUUGGUGGUCAUUACCCGAGACCCAAAUUCGAAUCCUAGUUGAUUCACAUUUUCAACAAAAUUUAUUUUUAAAUAGAAUAAGCGAAGUGGGUAACAUACUACAUUUCUCUCAAAAAAAUAUAUAUAUAGAUAUAGCUC